GUGAAUUUUCCUUUCUUGACUUGUAGAUAUAGUUUCUAAAGGAUGAAACUGCUACAAUUUAAUUCAUGAAAAAUAUUUCAUAUCAGUCAAUAUUGGUUGCACUUUGACUGUGCCUCAAAUGACAGGCUGGACUUACUAGAUUGGAUUUGUGUGAAGUGUGCCCUAGACAGGCCUGAAUAGAGGAGGGUACUAAUGUAGCCAACCCGAAGUAAUUUAGGAUUAUAUUGUGGUUUGAGUUUAUUAGAAUUGCAUUUGGCUGUCCUUUUGGAAAUCUAUUGGCUCCAUAGAAAAAAAGUCAAAUGUGUAAAUUGUUUCAGCACAAAUGGGGAGUGGUGCAUAUAUUUUUU
rnacentral:misc_RNA from 1 species